CUCUGUUUUGUUCUGUUUUACUCUGUUUU
rnacentral:sRNA from 1 species